GUCGAACGGAGCCUUAACCAAAGAAGCAGCCAGCUUGCUGGAAGCGGAAAACGGUAAGGCUUAGUGGCGGACGGGUGAGUAACGCGUGGGUAACCUGGCCCAUACAGGGGGAUAACACUUAGAAAUAGGUGCUAAUACCGCAUAACAACAGAAAGCGCAUGCUUUUUGUUUGAAAACCAAGGUGGUAUGGGAUGGACCCGCGUCUGAUUAGCUGGUUGGCGGGGUAAAGGCCCACCAAGGCGACGAUCAGUAGCCGGCCUGAGAGGGUGGACGGCCACAUUGGGACUGAGACACGGCCCAAACUCCUACGGGAGGCAGCAGUGGGGAAUAUUGCACAAUGGGGGAAACCCUGAUGCAGCGACGCCGCGUGAGUGAAGAAGUAAUUCGUUAUGUAAAGCUCUAUCAGCAGGGAAGAAAAUGACGGUACCUGAGUAAGAAGCCCCGGCUAACUACGUGCCAGCAGCCGCGGUAAUACGUAGGGGGCAAGCGUUAUCCGGAUUUACUGGGUGUAAAGGGAGCGUAGACGGCAGUGCAAGUCUGGAGUGAAAGGCGGGGGCUCAACCCCCGGACUGCUCUGGAAACUGUACGGCUGGAGUGCAGGAGAGGUAAGUGGAAUUCCUAGUGUAGCGGUGAAAUGCGUAGAUAUUAGGAGGAACACCAGUGGCGAAGGCGGCUUACUGGACUGUAACUGACGUUGAGGCUCGAAAGCGUGGGGAGCAAACAGGAUUAGAUACCCUGGUAGUCCACGCCGUAAACGAUGAUCACUAGGUGU
rnacentral:rRNA from 1 species